rnacentral:rRNA from 1 species
UUGGAGGGCAAGUCUGGUGCCAGCAGCCGCGGUAAUUCCAGCUCCAAUAGCGUAUAUUAAAGUUGUUGCAGUUAAAAAGCUCGUAGUUGAAUUUCGGAAUCAGUACGCCGGUCAUGCUUCGGUAUGUACUAGUGUCACUGAUUCCUUCCUUCUGACGAACCGUCAUGCCAUUAAUUUAGUGUGACGGGGAAUCAGGACUGUUACUUUGAAAAAAUUAGAGUGUUUAAAGCAGGCUCGCGCUUGAAUACAUUAGCAUGGAAUAAUGAAAUAGGACGUUGAUCUUAUUUUGUUGGUUUCUUAGAUCGACGUAAUGAUUAAUAGGGAUAGUUGGGGGCAUUAGUAUUCAAUUGUUAGAGGUGAAAUUCUUGGAUUUAUUGAAGACUAACUACUGCGAAAGCAUUUGCCAAGGAUGUUUUCAUUAAUCAAGAACGAAAGUUAGGGGAUCGAAGACGAUCAGAUACCGUCGUAGUCUUAACCAUAAACUAUGCCGACUAGGAAUCGGAUGAUGUUAAUUUUUUUUAAUGACUCAUUCGGCGCCUUACGGGAAAC